AUCUUAUUAGUAUAAUUGUACAUUUGACUUCCAAUCAAAAAGACUUAGUUUAAUUCUAAGAUAAGAUA
rnacentral:tRNA from 1 species